AGGCGGGCUGGAAUCUCUCGGGGUUACAGCCUUGCUGAAUUAUUCACCCUUGUCUUUUGCGUACUUCUUGUUUCCUUGGUGGGUUCGCCCACCACUAGGACAAACAUAAACCUUUUGUAAUUGCAAUCAGCGUCAGUAACAAAUUAAUAAUUACAACUUUCAACAACGGAUCUCUUGGUUCUGGCAUCGAUGAAGAACGCAGCGAAAUGCGAUAAGUAGUGUGAAUUGCAGAAUUCAGUGAAUCAUCGAAUCUUUGAACGCACAUUGCGCCCUUUGGUAUUCCAAAGGGCAUGCCUGUUCGAGCGUCAUUUGUACCCUCAAGCUUUGCUUGGUGUUGGGCGUCUUGUCUCUAGCUUUGCUGGAGACUCGCCUUAAAGUAAUUGGCAGCCGGCCUACUGGUUUCGGAGCGCAGCACAAGUCGCACUCUCUAUCAGCAAAGGUCUAGCAUCCAUUAAGCCUUUUUUCAACUUUUGACCUCGGAUCAGGUAGGGAUACCCGCUGAACUUAAGCAUAUCAAUAAGGCGGAGGAA
rnacentral:rRNA from 1 species